rnacentral:rRNA from 1 species
UGAACGCUGGCGGCGUGCCUAAUACAUGCAAGUCGAGCGAACGGACGAGAAGCUUGCUUCUCUGAUGUUAGCGGCGGACGGGUGAGUAACACGUGGAUAACCUACCUAUAAGACUGGGAUAACUUCGGGAAACCGGAGCUAAUACCGGAUAAUAUUUUGAACCGCAUGGUUCAAAAGUGAAAGACGGUCUUGCUGUCACUUAUAGAUGGAUCCGCGCUGCAUUAGCUAGUUGGUAAGGUAACGGCUUACCAAGGCAACGAUGCAUAGCCGACCUGAGAGGGUGAGCGGCCACACUGGAACUGAGACACGGUCCAGACUCCUACGGGAGGCAGCAGUAGGGAAUCUUCCGCAAUGGGCGAAAGCCUGACGGAGCAACGCCGCGUGAGUGAUGAAGGUCUUCGGAUCGUAAAACUCUGUUAUUAGGGAAGAACAUAUGUGUAAGUAACUGUGCGCAUCUUGACGGUACCUAAUCAGAAAGCCACGGCUAACUACGUG